GACGAACGCUGGCGGCGUGCUUAACACAUGCAAGUCGAACGGAAAGGCCCUGCUUGCAGGGUACUCGAGUGGCGAACGGGUGAGUAACACGUGGGUGAUCUGCCCUGCACUUCGGGAUAAGCCUGGGAAACUGGGUCUAAUACCGGAUAGGAGCCCUUUUUAGUGUGAUGGUUGGAAAGUUUUUUCGGUGUGGGAUGAGAUCGCGGCCUAUCAGCUUGUUGGUGGGGUAAUGGCCUACCAAGGCGGCGACGGGUAGCCGGCCUGGGAGGGUGGACGGCCAAAAUGGGGCUGGGGAUAGGCCCCGACCCCCACGGGGGGGAGGAGGGGGGGAUAUUGGACAAUGGGGGGGAGCCUGAUGCAGCGACGCCGCGUGGGGGAUGACGGGCUUCGGGUUGGAAAAUCGUUUCGCUAGGGACGAAGCUUUUUGUGACGGUACCUAGAUAAGAAGCACCGGCUAACUACGUG
rnacentral:rRNA from 1 species